GAAAGUGGAGCUAAUACUCCAUAUUGUCGGUCAUUCGUUUGGCCGAUGAAAGCUCCGGCGCUUUGGGAGGGGCUUGCGGCCCAUCAGCUAGUUGGUAGGGUAAUGGCCUACCAAGGCAAAGACGGGUAGCUGGUCUGAGAGGACGAUCAGCCACAAUGGCACUGAAACACGGGCCAUACUCCUACGGGAGGCAGCAGUGAGGAAUAUUGGACAAUCAACGAAAGUUGGAUCCAGCAACGCCGCGUGGACGAUGAAGGCCUUCGGGUUGUAAAGUCCUUUUAAGAGGGAAGAGGAAGGACGGUACCUCUUGAAUAAGUCUCGGCUAACUACGUGCCAGCAGCCGCGGUAACACGUANGAGGCAAGCGUUAUCCGGAUUCAUUGGGCGUAAAGGGCGUGCAGGCGGUUGAGUAAGUCGGGUGUGAAAGCCCCGGACUUAAUCCGGGGAGGUCAUUCCAUACUGCUUGACUUGAGAGCGGGAGAGGGAAGCGGAAUUCUCGGUGUAGUGGUGAUAUGCNUAGAUAUCGAGAGGAACACCAGUGGCGAAGGCGGCUUCCUGGCCCGUUUCUGACGCUAAUGC
rnacentral:rRNA from 1 species